AUGGCGAAGGUGUAGGUCGGAGUGAACGGAUUUGGCGAUACCAGGCACCUGGUCACCAGGGCUGCUUUUAACUCUGGCAAAGUGAAUAUUGUCGCCAUCAAUGACCCCUUCGUUGACCUCAACUACAUGGUGCACAUGUUCCAGUACAACUCCACCCACGGCAAGUUCCAAGGCACCGUCAAGCUUGAGAACAGGAACUUGUCAUCCAUCAAAGUCCCAUCACCAUCUUCCAGGAGCGAGAUCCCAGCAAAAUCAAAAGGGGCGACACUGGCGCUGAUUAUGUGGUGGAGGCCACCGGUGUCUUCACUACUUUGGAGAAGGCUGGGGCUCACCUGCAGUGGGGAGCCAAAAGGAUCAUCAUCUCUGCUCCCUCCGCCGGGGCCCCCAUGUUUGUGAUGGGUGUGAACCACCAGAAGUACCAGAACAAACUCAUGAUUGUGAGUAACGCCUCUCGCGCCACCAACUGCUUAGCCCCCUGGCCAAGGUCAUCCGUGACAACUUUGGCAUCGUGGAGGGACUCAUGACCACCAUCCACGCCAUCACUGCCACCCAGAAGACUGUGGAUGACCCCUCUGGGAAGCUACAGUGCCACAGCUGCGCGGCCCUCCAGAACAUCAUUCCUGCGUCCACUAGGGCUGCCAAAGUCAUGGGUAAGGUCAUCCCUGAGCUGAACGGGAAUGGCCUCCCUUGUCCCCACUGCCAACGAGUCUGUCGUGGACCUGACCUGUCGCCUGGAGAAACCUGCCAAAUAGGACGACAUCAAGAAGGUAGUGAAGCAGGCAUCCAAGGGUCCCCUCAAGGGCAUCCUGGGUGACACUGAGCACCAGGUGGUGUCCUCCAACUUUAACAGCGACACCCACUCUCCCACCUUUGAUGCUGGGGCUGGCAUGGCCCUCAACGACCACUUUGUCAAGCUCAUCUCUUGGUAUGACAAUGAAUUUGGCCACAGCAAGAGGGUGGUCAACCUCAUGGGCCACGUGGCCUCCAAGGAGUAAGAGCCCCCGGACCACCAGCCCCAGAGAGAUCAGGAGAGCAAGAGAGAAGCCCUCAACU